rnacentral:rRNA from 1 species
UACAGAGGUCUCAAGCGUUGUUCGGAUUCAUUGGGCGUAAAGGGUGCGUAGGUGGCGCGCUAAGUCAGGUGUGAAAUUUCGGAGCUUAACUCCGAAACUGCAUUUGAUACUGGCGUGCUUGAGGACUGGAGAGGAGACUGGAAUUCAUGGUGUAGCAGUGAAAUGCGUAGAGAUCAUGAGGAAGACCAGUGGCGAAGGCGGGUCUCUGGACAGUUCCUGACGCUGAGGCACGAAGGUCAGGGGAGCAAACGGG